GUCCAGCAUCUGUAUGAAUUACAUCUACAAAAUCUGCAUCUGUAGGGUCCAGACGAACAAUUGGAUCUGUCUUACUGAAGUGGGGUUCUGCUGGAUCAAGACCUAAAGAAUAAUAUUACUGGAAUACUCAAAUCAAGGUGCACGGAACAGAUGGGACACGUAGUGUGCAUGUUGGAGGUGAGAAAUAUGUACAACAUUUUUCUUUAGAAGACUGGAGGGAGGAGUCCAUUUGGAAGACCUAGGUGUAACUGGGAGGACUAUACUGAAAUGGAUGCUUGGGAAGUAUGAUUGCAAUGUGUGGAUUAUAUUAAUCUGACCCAGAAAAGGGAUUGCUUGUGCGUAUUUGUGAACACAGUAGUGCAUCUAAGUUCCAUAAAAGGAGGGGAAUAUCUUGACUAGCUAAGCACAACUUUUUUAUGUUUUUAAAACUAAAAUGUUAUUGUUUUAGGAAGAUGAUUUCAGAAUAAUACCAUCUAAGAAGACUUAUUAACCCUUCAAGAUUUAUUUGAACAAAUUACUUCCAAUUGGAAUUGUGUAGAUUUAUGUAAUAUUGAAGAUAAAGAAUAAUAUAAUUUUGAAAUUUGUUCCACUCUUGACAUACGGUGUCAUUUUGAUAUCUUCGUUCAUCAAAUAUAUAUAAAUGAAAAUCUGUUAUUAAAAUGUGCAAGGUUAACAGACGUUUCACACAUAAAAGCAAAUCGUGUUUUAUGUUAAGACGAAAUCGUAGACAACAAGAGUUCAAAAAAUAAAUUUUUUAAAGUUGUCAUACUGAAGUUUUCUGUGUUGAAUAAAGUUAGUUUUAAUCAUUUGAUGAAUGAUUUAAUAUUUAUUUAAGUUAUGUUUAAAAUAAUAAGCGCACAUAUCUGUCUUGAGAGGUACAAUUAGGCUGUUGUAAGUGGCGCUAACAGAAAUUUCUUAUUUAACACUAGAUAUUUUUGACAUACAGAUAUUGGUGCUUCUGCUUUGAGUCGUCUUAAUGUUGAUAUAUUCUGACCAGUUUAAUUUGUGCGGGCGUUAGAGUGCCGUGAUCCAAAGUUGUAGUGAAUGUGUAAUGAAAUUUAAGAAUGUGAGCCACAAUUAGGAUAAAAUAAUACGAAUAUUAGUGUGCAUGACGAAACAUUUGGUAGUAUGAUAUGAGUGUGAUAUGUGACAUACAAGAAAAAACCAAGAAUUAUCAUAGCUUACCAGCAUACUACACAGCAGAUAUGUACAGUGAUGGUGGCAAAUCUGGUAGCAAGAAAUGAAAAUGAGGUUCUUCAGCCCUGAAGAUGUAGGUAGUAUGUUUCUCUGAAACAGUGACAUCACAAACCAGAACGUCAACAAUAAACUGAAGAAUGUCUUUGAACAUUUUGCUGCAUUCUUCAUAAAGGUUUAAAACGUGCACUUACGACAGAAGGGUCCUUCUGCUCCAGUCAUCAUGAACAACUUGACAUGAGUCCGUGGUGGUGGAAGAUUAAGUGCCUGGAUGACCGAGGUUCAAUUCCAAACAGGAGCAAAAUAUUUUUCUUUUAUCUGCCAUGCCCAGACUGGCUAUGGGGCUCACCCAGUGUCCUAUCCAGUGAGUACAGAGAGUAAAAUGGACAGGGUUGAAGGCGACCGACCAUUCAUCUCCAUCCAUUGCAGCGAUCAAGAAUGGAGUUAUACCUCCUUAUGGCAUGGUGUUUAAUAAACACUAUGGAAACUUUAGAGUUUUAAUAUAAUUUGCUAUAAAAUUUAUGAAUAUGCUCUAAUUAUUUGUUCUGUUUACAAAUUUGAAAAGCAGUCACCAAGAAACUACAGAUUUCCAA